rnacentral:rRNA from 1 species
CCCUUAGAUGUUCUGGGUCGCACGCGCGCUACACUGACGGAGGCAGCGAGCAUGUCCUUCGCCGAGAGGUGUGGGGAAUCUUGUGAGUCUCCGUCGUGCUGGGGAUAGAUGGUUGCAAUUGUCGAUCUUGAACGAGGAAUUCCUAGUAAGCGCGAGUCAUCAGCUCGCGCUGAUUACGUCCCUGCCCUUUGUACACACCGCCCGUCGCUACUACCGAUUGAAUCGUUUAGCGAGAAUUUUGGAUCGGAGCCCUGGUGGGCAGCGAUGUCCGCCUGGGAUUUACCGAGAAAUCAUUCCAGCUUGCCGAUUUAGAGGAAGUAAAAGUCGUAACA